rnacentral:rRNA from 1 species
GCCGCGGUAAUUCCAGCUCCCAAUAGCGUAUAUUAAAGUUGUUGCGGUUAAAAAGCUCGUAGUUGGACAUGUGUCCCACGCCGUCGGUUCGUCGCCCGUCGACGUAACCGCACGGUUAUGUGAGUGGGACGUCCAGCCGGUGGGUCGUCAGGUCGCGCGCUCAGCUGGCCGCGCCCCUUGGCGGUGUCCAAUCCGCGCGCUCGUCGUGACGUGUGUCGGGUGGUGGCGUCCCUCGGGUCGCCUCCCCUGGCCCGUCGCCAAAAGCGGCGAGCGUCGCGGGGCCCGCCUCUCAGGGUGUCGCUGCGUCGGCGCGCGCGGUGCCGGACCCAUGUUACUCGUCUCGGUGCUCUUAAUCGAGUGUCUUGACGGGCCGGCUCGUUUACUUUGAACAAAUUAGAGUGCUUAAAGCAGGCCAAUUGCUGCCUGAAUAUUGUGUGCAUGGAAUAAUGGAAUAGGAUCUCGGUUCUAUUUUGUUGGUUUUCUGAACCAGAGAUAAUGAUUAAUAGAGACUGACGGGGGCAUUCGUAUUGCGACGUUAGAGGUGAAAUUCUUGGAUCGUCGCAAGACGAACAGAAGCGAAAGCACUUGCCAAGAAUGCUUUCACUAAUCAAGAACGAAAGUUAGAGGUUCGAAGGCGAUCAGAUACCGCCCUAGUUCUAACCAUAAACGAUGCCAACUAGCGAUCCGCCGGAGUUCCUCCGAUGACCCGGCGGGCAGCUUCCGGGAAACCAAAGUGUUUGGGUUCCGGGGGAAGUAUGGUUGCAAAGCUGAAACUUAAAGGAAUUGACGGAAGGGCACCACCAGGAGUGGAGCCUGCGGCUUAAUUUGACUCAACACGGGAAAACUCACCAGGCCCGGACACUGGAAGGAUUGACAGAUUGAUAGCUCUUUCUUGAUUCAGUGGGUGGUGGUGCAUGGCCGUUCUUAGUUGGUGGAGCGAUUUGUCUGGUUAAUUCCGAUAACGAACGAGACUCUGGCCUGCUAACUAGUCGCACAUUACGACAUCCGCAUUCGUGCUGUCGGCGACAAAUAUAAACUCUUCUUAGAGGGACAGGCGGCUUCUAGCCGCACGAGAUUGAGCAAUAACAGGUCUGUGAUGCCCUUAGAUGUUYUGGGCCGCACGCGCGCUACACUGAAUGGUUCAACGUGUGUUUUCCCUUGACCGAGAGGUCCGGGUAACCCGCUGAAAUCCAUUCGUGCUAGGGAUCGGGGCUUGCAAUUAUUCCCCGUGAACGAGGAAUUCCCAGUAAGCGCGAGUCAUAAGCUCGCGUUGAUUACGUCCCUGCCCUUUGUACACACCGCCCGUCGCUACUACCGAUUGAAUGAUUUAGUGAGGUCUUCGGACAGUCGCGCGGCUGUGCCCGCAAGGGCCCGUCGAUGUUCGACUGAAAGAUGAUCAAACUUGAUUAUUUAGAGGAAGUAAAAGUCGUAACAAGGUUUCCC